AGAUGUAGCUGGCUCUGUUUAAUUCUGUGAGGUCAAACCACACCUGGGAGGGUGUGUCUGGUUUCAAAGCCUACAUUGUAAGAGGAACAUAGGCACACUGAAAAUUGUUUGAUUUGGGCAAGAAGCAAUUUCGUCUGAAAAACCCACCGGGAGACCUAUUGCUGGAAUGAGAAUCCAGGGGAAGAAAAACACAGGGUAUCCUGGCCAUUGUUUCCAAAUCUCUGUGGGGCUGUAAGGGCCCUGAGUGCACCUGAGAAUGCUGAAAAGAAAAGCCAAGUUCACGGACAAAAAAAGAAUCACCCAAGCUGCUUUCACCUGCCUGCGAUUUCCCAAGAAGCCAGUUUGUCUUUAAGAAGUGAGACCCAUUUGAGAA